GUGGGGAAUUUUGCGCAAUGGGCGAAAGCCUGACGCAGCAACGCCGCGUGCGGGAUGAAGGCCCUCGGGUUGUAAACCGCUUUCAGCAGGGACGAAAUUGACGGUACCUGCAGAAGAAGCCCCGGCCAACUACGUGCCAGCAGCCGCGGUGAUACGUAGGGGGCGAGCGUUGUCCGGAUUCAUUGGGCGUAAAGAGCUCGUAGGCGGUUCGGUAAGUCAGAUGUGAAAACUCCAGGCUCAACUUGGAGACGCCAUCUGAUACUGCCGUGACUAGAGUCCGGUAGAGGAGUGUGGAAUUCCCGGUGUAGCGGUGAAAUGCGCAGAUAUCGGGAGGAACACCAACGGCGAAGGCAGCACUCUGGGCCGGUACUGACGCUGAGGAGCGAAAGCGUGGGUAGCAAACAGGAUUAGAAACCCGAGUAGUCC
rnacentral:rRNA from 1 species